rnacentral:rRNA from 1 species
GACGAACGCUGGCGGCGUGCUUAACACAUGCAAGUCGAACGGAAAGGCCCUGCUUUUGUGGGGUGCUCGAGUGGCGAACGGGUGAGUAACACGUGAGUAACCUUCCCUUGACUUUGGGAUAACUUCAGGAAACUGGGGCUAAUACCGGAUAGGAGCUCCUGCUGCAUGGUGGGGGUUGGAAAGUUUCGGCGGUUGGGGAUGGACUCGCGGGUUAUCAGCUUGUUGGUGGGGUAGUGGCUUACCAAGGCUUUGGCGGGUAGCCGGCCUGAGAGGGGGACCGGGGUCAUGGGGCCUGCGGGACGGAGCAGAGUGCAACAGGAGGCAGCAGUGGGGAACAUUGUCCAGUGGGGGGACGUCUGAGACGAAGACCCCGGGUGCGGAAAGACCGUCUUGGGGUUGGAAACCGCAUUCGCCUGAGACGAAGCGGGAGUGACGGUAAUGGGAGAAGAAGCACCGGCUAACUACGUG